rnacentral:misc_RNA from 1 species
AAAGUCGUAACAAGGUUUCCGUAGGUGAACCUGCGGAAGGAUCAUUAACACGUUAUCCACGUAUCAACCAAACCGUGAACUUGAAUCGUAUGCCAGUUACGCUGUCGAGAGGGAGUGAAGAAGGGAUUCUUCUCUCUGCUUUCCCCAGUGUUUAACUGCAUCGUUGUUCCAAUUACCAAAUCACCCCUGAUGUCUCUCUUUCUUCUUUACGGGAGAAGGAGAAAACAUUGGUUUUCUCUGUAUUUCUUAUUGAAGCUCAGGGCCAUUUCGGCUUUGUCUUCUAACACAAACUCUGUACAACUCUUAGCAACGGAUAUCUUGGUUUCC